ensembl:lncRNA
AUGGCCGUGAGGAGAUCUGGAGUCUGGUUUAGACAGCAGGAUCCUCCUCUCACGGUAUUCAAACGUGAACGUAAUUUGAGAGAUUACUUGGUGAGAUUGGAUCUGUCCCCUGCGCCUGUAACAACACAAACCAAGUUUUCAUCAAUUACAGAAGGUAAUUAUCGUUAUGGUACAUGUAGCCAGUGUAGCUAUACAUAUCAUUGUACAACGUUUAAACAUCCUCAUACUGGUAAAAUUAUUCAUAUUAAAGGAAUUACAAAUUGUAAAACAAAAGGAGUUAUUUACCUUAUUACAUGUACCUGCGGCAAAUCUUAUGUUGGAAAAACAAGUCGUGAACUUAAAACAUGUAUCGCAGAACAUCGUAGUACAAUAAGAUGUAAAAAUAUGAAUUAUCCAAUAGCUGCACAUUUUAUUGAAUCUAAUCAUCCAAUUACCUCUUUAUGUUAUAUAGGAAUUGAGAAGGUAUUUUUACAGAGGAGUAGGGGUGACUUGGACCGUAUUUUGCUGAAACGGGAAGCCUAUUGGAUUCAUAGAUUGAACACUUUGAUUCCACUAGGUUUGAAUGUGGAUUUGGAUCUGAGUUGUUUUCUGUAGAUGAUGUGUUUUUGUAAGUUGAUGUAUAUUUGGUCAGUGUUUAUACAAAUGGAUGAACUAUGUGUUCUGAUGGAGUGAUUUUAAUUCCAAUUUCAUUGUUAGUUGGACUGAGAUUAAUUGAUUGUUCACACAUGAGAGUGAUUGUCCAUUUAUACCUUACACGAAAUGAUACCUUGACAAAGGUGUUGUGCCGAAACAUUGGUAAUAAAGAAUCACCUGCAAGUGAGUAUGCAGUCUUAUGCCUCUUUAUGCUACUUUGAUGUCUUCUCACCGGCACCUCAGAUGGUGUGCAUAUGCAUGCUUGUUUAACUUUGCAGUGGGACAAGACCACAGGAACCUGUUGAGUCCUCUGCACAAUGUGUCUUUGCUGCAGCCUGGAAUUGAACUGCUGGUUCAUCUGGCCAGAGGAGAACUGGCCCCCCCACUAAGCCUGAUUUCUCCCAAGGUUUUUUCUCCAUUCUGUCACCGAUGGAGUUUUGGUUCCUAGCCACUGUUGCCUCUGGAUUGUUUAGUUGGGGAAACUUCAUUUCCAGCGAUAUUGCACAGAUACUAUUUAAACUGAACUGAGCUGGAUGAUGACAUCACUGAAUUCAAUGAUGAACUGCCUUUUACUGAAAAUUGAGUGUUUACUAUUGUCAUUUUGCAUUAUUGACACACUAUUUUCCUAUUUAAUACUGUAAAGUGCUUUGACACAAUCUGUAUUGUUAAAAGCGCUAUAUAAAUAAAGUUGACUUGACUUGACUAAUGCGAUCACAGUCUGAACAGAC